rnacentral:tRNA from 1 species
AGCCCCGAGGUGUCACACAUAUUAGAUUGCAAAUCUAAAGUAGCAGGUUCGCCCCUGCCGGGGCUU